UUUAUGGAGAGUUUGAUCCUGGCUCAGGAUGAACGCUGGCGGCGUGCCUAAUACAUGCAAGUCGAGCGAACGGACGAGAAGCUUGCUUCUCUGAUGUUAGCGGCGGACGGGUGAGUAACACGUGGAUAACCUACCUAUAAGACUGGGAUAACUUCGGGAAACCGGAGCUAAUACCGGAUAAUAUUUUGAACCGCAUGGUUCAAAAGUGAAAGACGGUCUUGCUGUCACUUAUAGAUGGAUCCGCGCUGCAUUAGCUAGUUGGUAAGGUAACGGCUUACCAAGGCAACGAUGCAUAGCCGACCUGAGAGGGUGAUCGGCCACACUGGAACUGAGACACGGUCCAGACUCCUACGGGAGGCAGCAGUAGGGAAUCUUCCGCAAUGGGCGAAAGCCUGACGGAGCAACGCCGCGUGAGUGAUGAAGGUCUUCGGAUCGUAAAACUCUGUUAUUAGGGAAGAACAUAUGUGUAAGUAACUGUGCACAUCUUGACGGUACCUAAUCAGAAAGCCACGGCUAACUACGUGCCAGCAGCCGCGGUAAUACGUAGGUGGCAAGCGUUAUCCGGAAUUAUUGGGCGUAAAGCGCGCGUAGGCGGUUUUUUAAGUCUGAUGUGAAAGCCCACGGCUCAACCGUGGAGGGUCAUUGGAAACUGGAAAACUUGAGUGCAGAAGAGGAAAGUGGAAUUCCAUGUGUAGCGGUGAAAUGCGCAGAGAUAUGGAGGAACACCAGUGGCGAAGGCGACUUUCUGGUCUGUAACUGACGCUGAUGUGCGAAAGCGUGGGGAUCAAACAGGAUUAGAUACCCUGGUAGUCCACGCCGUAAACGAUGAGUGCUAAGUGUUAGGGGGUUUCCGCCCCUUAGUGCGCAGCUAACGCAUUAAGCACUCCGCCUGGGGAGUACGACCGCAAGGUUGAAACUCAAAGGAAUUGACGGGGACCCGCACAAGCGGUGGAGCAUGUGGUUUAAUUCGAAGCAACGCGAAGAACCUUACCAAAUCUUGACAUCCUUUGACAACUCUAGAGAUAGAGCCUUCCCCUUCGGGGGACAAAGUGACAGGUGGUGCAUGGUUGUCGUCAGCUCGUGUCGUGAGAUGUUGGGUUAAGUCCCGCAACGAGCGCAACCCUUAAGCUUAGUUGCCAUCAUUAAGUUGGGCACUCUAAGUUGACUGCCGGUGACAAACCGGAGGAAGGUGGGGAUGACGUCAAAUCAUCAUGCCCCUUAUGAUUUGGGCUACACACGUGCUACAAUGGACAAUACAAAGGGCAGCGAAACCGCGAGGUCAAGCAAAUCCCAUAAAGUUGUUCUCAGUUCGGAUUGUAGUCUGCAACUCGACUACAUGAAGCUGGAAUCGCUAGUAAUCGUAGAUCAGCAUGCUACGGUGAAUACGUUCCCGGGUCUUGUACACACCGCCCGUCACACCACGAGAGUUUGUAACACCCGAAGCCGGUGGAGUAACCUUUUAGGAGCUAGCCGUCGAAGGUGGGACAAAUGAUUGGGGUGAAGUCGUAACAAGGUAGCCGUAUCGGAAGGUGCGGCUGGAUCACCUCCUUU
rnacentral:rRNA from 1 species